GAUGAACGCUGGCGGCGUGCCUAAUACAUGCAAGUCGAGCGAACAGACGAGGAGCUUGCUCCUCUGACGUUAGCGGCGGACGGGUGAGUAACACGUGGAUAACCUACCUAUAAGACUGGGAUAACUUCGGGAAACCGGAGCUAAUACCGGAUAAUAUAUUGAACCGCAUGGUUCAAUAGUGAAAGACGGUUUUGCUGUCACUUAUAGAUGGAUCCGCGCCGCAUUAGCUAGUUGGUAAGGUAACGGCUUACCAAGGCAACGAUGCGUAGCCGACCUGAGAGGGUGUCCGCCCAACCUGGAACGAGACACGGGUCCAACCCCUAAGGGGGGGCACAAGAGGGAAUUCUUCCGAAAGGGGCAAAGCCCUGAGGAGGCAACCCCGGGGAGGGAAGAAAGUUUUUCGGUUCGUAAAACUUUUUUUUUAGGAAAAAACAAAUUUUAAAGUAACUAUCCACUUUUUACCGGUACCAAAUCAAAAAGCCCCGGCAAACUCCGG
rnacentral:rRNA from 1 species